rnacentral:rRNA from 1 species
GUAACCCGGCGGACGGCUCAGUAACACGUGGAUAACUUGCCCUUGGGUCUGGGAUAACCCCUGGGAAACUGGGGCUAAUACCGGAUAGAGCAUCGAUCGCUGGAAUGCAUGAUGCUCGAAAACUACGGUGCCCAAGGAUAGGUCUGCGGCUGAUUAGGUUGUUGUUGAUGUAAUGGACCAACAAGCCUACGAUCGGUACGGGUUGUGAGAGCAAUAGCCCGGAGAUGGGUUCUGAGAAAAGAACCCAGGUCCUACGGGACGCAUCAGGCGCGAAAACUUUACAAUGUGCGAAAGCACGAUAAGGGAACUCUGAGUGCCCCCUAAGGGGGCUGUUCUAGUGUCUAAAAAGCAAUAGAAGUAAGGGCUGGGCAAGACCGGUGCCAGCCGCCGCGGUAACACCGGCAGCCCAAGUGUAGCCACGUUUAUUGGGUCUAAAGCGUUCGUAGCCGGCUUGGUAAGUUCCUCGGUAAAUUUAGCCGCUUAACGGUUAAGCUUUCAGGGAAUACUGCUUGGCUUGGGACUGGGAGAGGUCAGAGGUACUCCAGGGGUAGGGGUGAAAUCCAUUAAUCCUUGGGGGACCACCGGUAGCGAAGGCGUCUGACCAGACCAGCUCCGACGGUGAGGGACGAAGGCUAGGGGCGCGAACCGGAUUAAAUACCCGGGUAGUCCUAGCUGUAAACGAUGCGGGCUAGGUGUUGGCAUUACUGGGAAUGGUGC